rnacentral:rRNA from 1 species
GGGUUGUGAGGUUAAGCGACUAAGCGUACACGGUGGAUGCCCUGGCAGUCAGAGGCGAUGAAGGACGUGCUAAUCUGCGAUAAGCGUCGGUAAGGUGAUAUGAACCGUUAUAACCGGCGAUUUCCGAAUGGGGAAACCCAGUGUGUUUCGACACACUAUCAUUAACUGAAUCCAUAGGUUAAUGAGGCGAACCGGGGGAACUGAAACAUCUAAGUACCCCGAGGAAAAGAAAUCAACCGAGAUUCCCCCAGUAGCGGCGAGCGAACGGGGAGCAGCCCAGAGCCUGAAUCAGUGUGUGUGUUAGUGGAAGCGUCUGGAAAGGCGCGCGAUACAGGGUGACAGCCCCGUACACAAAAAUGCACAUGCUGUGAGCUCGAUGAGUAGGGCGGGACACGUGGUAUCCUGUCUGAAUAUGGGGGGACCAUCCUCCAAGGCUAAAUACUCCUGACUGACCGAUAGUGAACCAGUACCGUGAGGGAAAGGCGAAAAGAACCCCGGCGAGGGGAGUGAAAAAGAACCUGAAACCGUGUACGUACAAGCAGUGGGAGCACAGAGCAAUCUGUGUGACUGCGUACCUUUUGUAUAAUGGGUCAGCGACUUAUAUUCUGUAGCAAGGUUAACCGAAUAGGGGAGCCGAAGGGAAACCGAGUCUUAACUGGGCGUUAAGUUGCAGGGUAUAGACCCGAAACCCGGUGAUCUAGCCAUGGGCAGGUUGAAGGUUGGGUAACACUAACUGGAGGACCGAACCGACUAAUGUUGAAAAAUUAGCGGAUGACUUGUGGCUGGGGGUGAAAGGCCAAUCAAACCGGGAGAUAGCUGGUUCUCCCCGAAAGCUAUUUAGGUAGCGCCUCGUGAAUUCAUCUCCGGGGGUAGAGCACUGUUUCGGCAAGGGGGUCAUCCCGACUUACCAACCCGAUGCAAACUGCGAAUACCGGAGAAUGUUAUCACGGGAGACACACGGCGGGUGCUAACGUCCGUCGUGAAGAGGGAAACAACCCAGACCGCCAGCUAAGGUCCCAAAGUCAUGGUUAAGUGGGAAACGAUGUGGGAAGGCCCAGACAGCCAGGAUGUUGGCUUAGAAGCAGCCAUCAUUUAAAGAAAGCGUAAUAGCUCACUGGUCGAGUCGGCCUGCGCGGAAGAUGUAACGGGGCUAAACCAUGCACCGAAGCUGCGGCAGCGACNNNNNNNNNNNNNNNNNNNNNNNNNNNNNNNNNNNNNNNNNNNNNNNNNNNNNNNNNNNNNNNNNNNNNNNNNNNNNNNNNNNNNNNNNNNNNNNNNNNNUGCUGGAGGUAUCAGAAGUGCGAAUGCUGACAUAAGUAACGAUAAAGCGGGUGAAAAGCCCGCUCGCCGGAAGACCAAGGGUUCCUGUCCAACGUUAAUCGGGGCAGGGUGAGUCGACCCCUAAGGCGAGGCCGAAAGGCGUAGUCGAUGGGAAACAGGUUAAUAUUCCUGUACUUGGUGUUACUGCGAAGGGGGGACGGAGAAGGCUAUGUUGGCCGGGCGACGGUUGUCCCGGUUUAAGCGUGUAGGCUGGUUUUCCAGGCAAAUCCGGAAAACUAAGGCUGAGGCGUGAUGACGAGGCACUACGGUGCUGAAGCAACAAAUGCCCUGCUUCCAGGAAAAGCCUCUAAGCAUCAGGUAACAUCAAAUCGUACCCCAAACCGACACAGGUGGUCAGGUAGAGAAUACCAAGGCGCUUGAGAGAACUCGGGUGAAGGAACUAGGCAAAAUGGUGCCGUAACUUCGGGAGAAGGCACGCUGAUAUGUAGGUGAAGUCCCUCGCGGAUGGAGCUGAAAUCAGUCGAAGAUACCAGCUGGCUGCAACUGUUUAUUAAAAACACAGCACUGUGCAAACACGAAAGUGGACGUAUACGGUGUGACGCCUGCCCGGUGCCGGAAGGUUAAUUGAUGGGGUUAGCGGUAACGCGAAGCUCUUGAUCGAAGCCCCGGUAAACGGCGGCCGUAACUAUAACGGUCCUAAGGUAGCGAAAUUCCUUGUCGGGUAAGUUCCGACCUGCACGAAUGGCGUAAUGAUGGCCAGGCUGUCUCCACCCGAGACUCAGUGAAAUUGAACUCGCUGUGAAGAUGCAGUGUACCCGCGGCAAGACGGAAAGACCCCGUGAACCUUUACUAUAGCUUGACACUGAACAUUGAGCCUUGAUGUGUAGGAUAGGUGGGAGGCUUAGAAGUGUGGACGCCAGUCUGCAUGGAGCCGACCUUGAAAUACCACCCUUUAAUGUUUGAUGUUCUAACGUGGACCCGUGAUCCGGGUUGCGGACAGUGUCUGGUGGGUAGUUUGACUGGGGCGGUCUCCUCCUAAAGAGUAACGGAGGAGCACGAAGGUUGGCUAAUCCUGGUCGGACAUCAGGAGGUUAGUGCAAUGGCAUAAGCCAGCUUGACUGCGAGCGUGACGGCGCGAGCAGGUGCGAAAGCAGGUCAUAGUGAUCCGGUGGUUCUGAAUGGAAGGGCCAUCGCUCAACGGAUAAAAGGUACUCCGGGGAUAACAGGCUGAUACCGCCCAAGAGUUCAUAUCGACGGCGGUGUUUGGCACCUCGAUGUCGGCUCAUCACAUCCUGGGGCUGAAGUAGGUCCCAAGGGUAUGGCUGUUCGCCAUUUAAAGUGGUACGCGAGCUGGGUUUAGAACGUCGUGAGACAGUUCGGUCCCUAUCUGCCGUGGGCGCUGGAGAACUGAGGGGGGCUGCUCCUAGUACGAGAGGACCGGAGUGGACGCAUCACUGGUGUUCGGGUUGUCAUGCCAAUGGCACUGCCCGGUAGCUAAAUGCGGAAGAGAUAAGUGCUGAAAGCAUCUAAGCACGAAACUUGCCCCGAGAUGAGUUCUCCCUGACUCCUUGAGAGUCCUGAAGGAACGUUGAAGACGACGACGUUGAUAGGCCGGGUGUGUAAGCGCAGCGAUGCGUUGAGCUAACCGGUACUAAUGAACCGUGAGGCUUAACCUUACAACGCCGAAG